GAUGAACGCUGGCGGCGUGCCUAACACAUGCAAGUCGAACGAUGUCCGUAAGGGCAUAGUGGCGCACGGGUGAGGAACACGUAGCUGACCUGCCUCAGAGUGCGGGAUAACGCCCCGAAAGGGGUGCUAAUACCGCGUAAGCUCACCGGGUUUAGAAGCCGGGGAGAAAAGGCCUUCGGGUCGCUUUGAGAGGGGGCUGCGGCGCAUCAGGUAGUUGGUGGGGUAACGGCCUACCAAGCCAACGACGCGUAGGGGGUCUGAGAGGAUGAUCCCCCACACUGGGACUGAGACACGGCCCAGACUCCUACGGGUGGCAG
rnacentral:rRNA from 1 species